UACCUCUUGGUACAACAAGUAGAAUUUGUCUGAAGUCUCCGUCAAAAGUGACAACUUUACCUCCAAAAUUUUGGUUACAUUCACAAUUGUCAUCACUCAUUAUAUUCUUUAAUGACUUGUCAAGAGCUUCAAAACAAAAUUUAUUUGCAAUAGAUACUUCAUCCCAUAUAAUGAGUUUUGUUACUUUCGAAAAGAUUAGCUAAAUCAUAUUGUUUCUCAAUGUUACAUAUAGAAGAUUCUAGACAUGGGCUGAAAUUUUGAAUUUGAAAU
rnacentral:lncRNA from 1 species